GACGAACGCUGGCGGCGUGCCUAAUACAUGCAAGUCGAACGCAGUGGGGACGGGUGAGUAACAAGUGGGUAACCUCCCAUCAGAGGGGAUAACACUUGGAAACAGGUGCUAAACCGAUACUGAAGGAUGGACACGCGGUGCAUUAGAUAGUUGGUGAGGUACCGGCUCACCAAGGCCACGAUGCAUAGCCGCCCUGAGAGAGUGAUCGGCCCCACUGGGACUGAGACACGGCCCAGACUCCUACGGGAGGCAGCAGUGGGGAAUAUUGCACAAUGGGCGCAAGCCUUAUGCAGCCAUGCCGCGUGUAUGAAGAAGGCCUUCGGGUUGUAAAGUACUUUCAGCGGGGAGGCGUUACCCGCAGAAGAAGCACCGGCUAACUCCGUGCCAGCAGCCGCGGUAAUUC
rnacentral:rRNA from 1 species